rnacentral:rRNA from 1 species
AUAAUAAUUAGGUUUUUAAUUGAAAUCUAGAAUGAAUGAUUGGACGAGAUACAGGCUGUUUUAUAAUAAUUAAUUAAAACUUAAUUUUUUAGUCAAAAAGCUAAAAUUUUAUUAAAAGACGAGAAGACCCUAUAAAUCUUUAUAAUAAAUUUAUUUUAAUAAAUUAUUUUAUUUAAAUUAAUUGUUUUAAUAAUAAAUUAUUUUAUUGGGGUGAUACAAAAAUUUAAUUAACUUUUUUAUUAAAAUUUCUUAAAUUAAAGAUUUUUAAAAAUAUGAUCUACUAUUAGUAAUUCAGAGAAUAAGAUACUUUAGGGAUAACAGCGUAAUUUUAAUUUUAAGUUCUUAUUAAAAUUAAAGAUUGC